AGCCACGUGGUGAGAACAAAGCGAACUAUUCUUUCGCCUUUUACUAAAGAAUACCGUGUGCUCGCCGCAAUUAGUGGCAUACGCCUAUUUUUGGAGAGGUUUCUCUUUUGGGAAACG